rnacentral:rRNA from 1 species
CCUACGGGUGGCAGCAGUGGGGAAUAUUGCGCAAUGGGGGCAAGCCUGAUGCAGCAACGCCGCGUGAGUGAAGAAGGCUUUCGGGUUGUAAAGCUCUUUUAUCAGGGAAGAAGAAAGUGACGGUAGCUUAGGAAUAAGCCACGGCUAACUACGUGCCAGCAGCCGCGGUAAUACGUAGGUGGCAAGCGUCAUCCGGAUUUACUGGGUGUAAAGGGAGUGUAGGCGGGACUGCAAGUCAGAUGUGAAAACCACGGGCUCAACCGGGGGACUGCAUUUGAAACUGUAGUGCUUGAGUACUGGAGAGGCAGACGGAAUUCCUAGUGUAGCGGUGAAAUGCGUAGAUAUUAGGAGGAACACCAGUGGCGAAGGCGGUCUACUGGACAGCAACUGACGUUGAGGCGCGAAAGCGUGGGUAGCGAACAGGAUUAGAUACCCGAGUAGUC